rnacentral:lncRNA from 1 species
CGGGAAGGCGCCAUUUUCUCCCCUUCAGAGGCGAGCAAGUUUAAUGAGAAAAGCUAACAUUACCUGGCAUUGGUCCAUCUACAACUCCACAUAAGCUGUAGUUUUGAAGAUUCUUCCAGUCCUUCAGGUGACAUCUUCUGUCUGAAGCAUCAGGCCAAUCUUUUGCAGUCCAGAAUCAGGUGGUUUGUCUUGGUCGGGCAUCUCAGCUGAGACCUGUCCACUAUGGGUGACCCUACCGAUAGCUGUGAAGUACCAGUGGCAUAGCUCUCAGCAUCACUGAUGCACACAAGCCCUCACAGCACGGCAAGCUGCAGACCGUGUGAGGGACCCUAACCUACCCUAACCCACCAACCACUAAUAUGCCAAAAACCACUCAGAGGUGACCAACAACGUGCAAGAAAGCGCCUAGAAAACCUUGAUAAACACCUGCCAACAUCCAGCAAACCAUCCAAAAGAACCCAACAACUCAAGAGCUGAAUAUCACCAGCACUGACAAUCAGCAAAACAUCCAGCAAUGUGAUGAAAACUUGAAUGAAAUGUCAAACUUGAUGUAUUGUAAACUUGUUCUAGAACUAUAUACAAUAAGUACAUACGUGCCCUUGAUCCUUCAUCUGGCACUAUAGAUGACUCAGUGCCUGGGCUUCUUCCUUCUGGGCUCCUUGGGCUGCGGCUCUUUGCUGAUGUUCACCAUGAUUUGAGGAGGGAUGCUGGAACCGGACCUGCUCUCCUUGAUGACCACACGUCCAUCAGGCUGCACGGUCUCCAGCAGUACAGGCUGGUCCAGCUUCUCCCACAGCCGCUGCUUGAUCUCCAAUCCCCACUGAAGGUUGUAACGGCCACGGCGUUUCUUCAUGAUGAAGUCCAUCACACUGUGGUAGAUAUGCUGAUAUUCCUGCACACUCCGGCCGUGGAUGAAAAGCGGCUCCUUCUGCGGACACUCACCCACCGAGGACACUGAUGCUGCGGGACGGGGGACAGGAAGGACAGCUGCGUUCCUCAGGUGUUUCUCCUCCAGUAAAGUGUCAGACAUGCAGCUGUCCGGACUGGCCACCGCUGCUCGCUCCUCAACGGAAGAGAUGCACUCCAACAAUAAGUCUCUCAGGUGUCCAGGAAGAGUCCUGGUCCUUCUUGAGCGCCGCAGCGUCAUCGCGAACUCCAAAACAACUUUCCAAAUAAGACAAACAGGUGAAACUCAGUCAACGGGAGAUUUGUUCAGAGUUUUAUAGCGCGAUGAUCAAGACUGAUAACUUUAUAGACAGUUGUUUGGAUUUUUAAACCAACUCAAGUCGCCUAGGUGACAGAAUGACGAGGGUCGUUUAAACGUUUUUAAUUAGAGCAGCAAGAGCUGUAUGUUUGUACAGUGCAGUGUUUGUUAAAAGGUAUUAAAUACUGAAAAUAUUUUAAUAAUUAGUAGGUAUAAUAAUAAAGGGCCAAUAUACCUAAAUAAAUAAA